rnacentral:rRNA from 1 species
GACGAACGCUUGCGGCGUGCCUAAUGUAUGCAAGUCGAGCGGGUUCUAUUCCUUCGGGAGUAGAGCGAGCGGCGAACGGUUGAGUAACACGUAGGCAACCUGCCCCGAAGUCGGGAAUAACUCAUCGAAAGGUGGGCUAAUACCGGAUGUGGAAGCCGCCGGCCUCGGCGGUUCUCUAAAGGCGAAAGUCGCUUCGGGAUGGGCCUGCGGCCUAUCAGCUAGUUGGUGGGGUAACGGCCUACCAAGGCGACGACGGGUAGCUGGUCUGAGAGGAUGGUCAGCCAGACAGGGACUGAGACACGGCCCUGACUCCUUUGGGGGGCAGCAAUGAGGGAUAUUGCACAAUGGGGGAAACCCGUGAUGCAGCGACGCCGCGUGGGUGACGAAGUCCUUCGG